GUGCUCCCUUUAGCAGCACAGACUCUCAAAGGGGAAGGAUUCCAAGGUUAUCCUGGCCCCUGUGGAAGGAUGACACACAGAGUUGGGAAACUUUCCAUCAAAGA
rnacentral:snRNA from 1 species